rnacentral:rRNA from 1 species
UACAGAGGUGGCAAGCGUUGUUCGGAAUUACUGGGCGUAAAGGGCGAGUAGGCGGCCUUCUAAGUCAGACGUGAAAUCCCCCGGCUUAACCUGGGAACUGCGUCUGAUACUGGGAGGCUAGAGUUUGGGAGAGGGAGGUAGAAUUCCAGGUGUAGCGGUGAAAUGCGUAGAUAUCUGGAGGAAUACCGGUGGCGAAGGCGGCCUCCUGGACCAAUACUGACGCUGAUCCGCGAAAGCUAGGGGAGCAAACGGG